rnacentral:rRNA from 1 species
UACGUAGGCAGCAAGCGUUGUUCGGAGUUACUGGGCGUAAAGGGUGCGUAGGCGGCCUUAUAAGUAUGGUGUGAAAUCUCCCGGCUUAACUGGGAGGGUGCGCUAUAGACUGUGGGGCUGGAGUGUGGGAGAGGAAAGUGGAAUUCCUGGUGUAGCGGUGAAAUGCGUAGAUAUCAGGAGGAACACCGGUGGUGUAAACGGCUUUCUGGACCAUAACUGACGCUGAGGCACGAAAGCGUGGGGAGCGAACAGG